rnacentral:misc_RNA from 1 species
CUGGAGACCCACCUGAGGCGGCUCCACACCAGCAUGGAGACCCUAACCCAGCACAGGAGAGAACUGAGCAGUAUGACAGCUUUGUUUGCCAAGAGCGCCGCCAUGCUCGGGACAGCAGAGGAGCACACGGCUCUGUCUCGAGCUCUCUCACAGCUCGCCGAGACUGAGGAACGCAUAGAGACCGUUCACGCCGACCAAUCAGAUCACGACUUCUUCAUCAUGGCUGAGCUGUGCAAAGACUACGUGGCACUGUUGGGAGCUGUAAAGGAAGUGUUUCACGAGCGAGUGAAAUCUUACAAAUCUUGGAAGGAGGCGGAGGCAACUCUGACCAAAAAACGAGAAAAUAAAGUCAAACUAGAACUAGCACGCAAAAUGGACAAAAUUCCUCAAGCUGAAGAUGAGAUUUCAGAGUGGGUGAAUAAAGUGGAAAAAGGGAAGGACGAUUUUGAGAAAAUUUCCAAAGCCAUCAGGAAGGAGGUUGCCAGAUUUGAUAAAUAUAGAGUGGAAGAUUUCAAAGACAGUGUUGUAAAUUAUCUGGAGCAGCUAAUGGAGAACCAAAAAAGGAUAAUGAAGUGUUGGGAGGCGUUCUUACCGGAAGCCAAGGCCAUUGCUUAGAUUUAGUGGAUACCGGACUAUUUAACUUCUAUUAUAUUUGAAAUGCUUGAUUUUGCAACUGAGAUUACAUGAAUAGGAAGUUUGUGCAGUACAGGCUGGUAACUGUUAGAUGAGAUAGAUGGACUGCUAUGUGCAAUAAGACCACACUGGACUGACAGAGUGCCUCUCUGUUUGAUACUGAUUGGUGACCAUACUACAUACAUUCCACUGGUCAUUGACAGGCAGUGGCUUACUUUGUUCUAUAAAAACACAAAUUUUAUGUACAAUAAAUUAUUAUAUACUGGU